rnacentral:rRNA from 1 species
GACGAACGCUGGCGGCGUGCUUAACACAUGCAAGUCGAACGGUAAGUCCCUGCUUUUGUGUGGUACUCGAGUGGCGAGAGGGUGAGUAACCCGGGGGUUACCUGGCCUUGACUCUGGGAUACCUUCGGGGAACUGGGGCGAAUACCGGAUAGGAGCUCCUGCUGCAUGGUGUGGGUUGGAGCGUUUGGGCGGUUGGGGCUGGACUGGUGGGUUGUUGGCUGGAUGGUGGGGUAGUGGCUUACCACGGGUUUGAAGGGUAGCCGGCCUGCGCGGGUGACCGGCGACAAUGGUACUGAGAGACGGACCAGAAGCCUACGGGAGGCAGCGGUGGGGAAUAUGGCCCAGUGGCCGGGAGCCUGUGGCAGCAACGUCGGGAGCGGGAUGACGGCCUUCGGGUGGUAAACCGCUUUCGUCGGUGACGAAGCGUGAGUGACGGUAACGGGUAAAGAAGCACCGGCUAACUACGUG